UACGUAGGGUCCGAGCGUUGUCCGGAAUUACUGGGCGUAAAGAGCUCGUAGGUGGUUUGUCGCGUUGUUCGUGAAAACUCACAGCUUAACUGUGGGCGUGCGGGCGAUACGGGCAGACUAGAGUUCGGCAGGGGAGACUGGAAUUCCUGGUGUAGCGGUGAAAUGCGCAGAUAUCAGGAGGAACACCGGUGGCGAAGGCGGGUCUCUGGGCAUUAACUGACGCUGAGGAGCGAAAGCAUGGGGAGCGAACAGG
rnacentral:rRNA from 1 species